AAGCCCCGGAGCCUUAAAGGGCUCAUCCUUAAACUUGCAUUUUAAUGUGUUGCUUACACUACGGGGCU
rnacentral:tRNA from 1 species